rnacentral:rRNA from 1 species
UGGGGAAUCUUCCGCAAUGGGCGCAAGCCUGACGGAGCAACGCCGCGUGAGUGAAGAAGGUCUUCGGAUCGUAAAGCUCUGUUGAUGGGGACGAACGUGCCUAAUGCGAAUAGUAUUAGGUAAUGACGGUACCCAUCGAGGAAGCCACGGCUAACUACGUGCCAGUAGCCGCGGUAAUACGUAGGUGGCGAGCGUUGUCCGGAAUCAUUGGGCGUAAAGGGAGCGCAGGCGGGCAUGUAAGUCUUUCUUAAAAGUGCGGGGCUCAACCCCGUGAUGGGAAAGAAACUAUGUGUCUUGAGUACAGGAGAGGAAAGCGGAAUUCCUAGUGUAGCGGUGAAAUGCGUAGAUAUUGGGAGGAACACCAGUGGCGAAGGCGGCUUUCUGGACUGCAACUGACGCUGAGGCUCGAAAGCCAGGGGAGCGAACGGG